GGUCCCGUAGCUCAACGGAUAGAGCAGGGGUUUCCUAAACCUCCGAUGAAGGUUCAAUUCCUUCCGGGAUCA
rnacentral:tRNA from 1 species